GAGAUCGUGAGGACAUAGGAAGAGAGGUAAGGGGCGACCAGGAAGAAAAUGGGAAAGCCAGUUGGCCAGAGUGAUACUCUUGUUGUGAUUGGUUGUUUCGCUGUCAGGCAACUGAUGACGCUCUGCGCAUUCGGUUAAGAUGAAGGGGCAAUUUGGAAGCGGUGAAGAAAUGUGGAAUUCAUUAUAAAGAAACUGCAGAGGGCUAUUAUGAAAGUCGAAGAAUGGUCAUAUAAAUGGGGUUUUAAGUGUUCAGUUGAUAAGACAAAGACAAUGCUCUU